UUUGCUGAUACCAAGCACACAAAUAUCUCAACACCCCCAUAGCCUGGCAUGGUGCUGUUUUAUUUUGCUGGAUGGCCAAGAAUCGAUGAGAUUUGGAUGGAGGUUGUGCUUUUCUCCCUUCCCCAUCAAACCAGAUCCUACCUGUCAGUUUUAGUCUAAGAGAUGGUGUCAUAGGUGCUGAAAUAUAAUCAUCGCUCUUCCCAAACACCUGACUUCUUCCCAAGGGCCUUCUACCCCGUUUUCCUUCACAAGUGAUUCUCUUUGUGUGGUUUUGUUGUGUGCUUUGUAGGGGAGGUAAAAGAAUGAAAAAUGGGAAAGAGUAUAGCUCCCCUACACUCCUCACCACAGAGAGAGCACUGCAUUAUCUGGAGCAGCUCUGGGAGAGGGGACAGGAACUGAGGCACAGCAGGUGGACACAAGACUAUGCUGGAAGAGUAGAGCUGGCUAAAAUAACACGGUUAUUUUAAUUUGUAAUUUGCUGCUGUGUAUUUAAAAAGUUCAAGCUGUGUCCCAGAAUGGAGAGAAUAGCAUUUAGCAAAGCUCAGGGACUAAGUUUUCAUCUGUGAUAAGAGAUGACAAUGAGCAGUGGGAAAAUAUGUCAAUAAAUUUGUGAUUAGCUGAGAAAUCCUAUUCUAGGAAAAUUGAGAUUUUCAGGGAAUUUAUUAUUCUGCGUAGUUCUGGCAGAAACAAAGUGACGACAUCUUUUGGAAAUGUCAAAGCUAAUGAUUUUAACUUCAAAAAAAUAUUAAAGGAUUGUAAUAAAAGACAAUGGAAUGAAGGUUGUAAUAAUUGUCAUGAAGAUGGUCUGUUUUGCUGCUACAUUCCAGGUUACAGUGGUUUCUCAGGAUGUGGAAGAUGCAGCUUCACAAACCUGUGGAAUGCACUCAGUGGCUGCAUCUGCACUGAAAACACGUGAAUAUUGCUGGAAUACCUACAGUGCUUCCCCUGCUCCCUAAGACGGCGCCGAAUAACAUCCCUGGAAAAUAUGCAAAUGAAGAGACAUUCUAAGAACUCAAACCAAAGGGCCUUAAAAACAAAGAAUGAGCUGAAAAUUCAACAAACCAAGCUACGAGCCAUAUCAACAGAAAGUUCCCCUACUCUACCAGCAAGGUUUUAAGUGUCACCAUGACUUUACUAGAACUGGACCAGAAUGAGGACCCUAGACAACGAGCCAGAGCUGUCUUCCUAGGCACGCCCGUGAGGACGGAAGCCCCAGUUCUGCUGCGAAGCAAAACUGUCUCUCUCUCCUCCUCUGCGUCGCCGAAGGGAG
rnacentral:lncRNA from 1 species